ACGCUCGACACCUACGGGAGCAGCAGUGGGGAAUAUUGCACAAUGGGGGAAACCCUGAUGCAGCGACGCCGCGUGAGCGAAGAAGUAUUUCGGUAUGUAAAGCUCUAUCAGCAGGGAAGAAACUGACGGUACCUGACUAAGAAGCACCGGCUAAAUACGUGCCAGCACGCCGGACGGUAAUCUGGAGGCGGGUCGUGGACGAACGGC
rnacentral:rRNA from 1 species